UGGCCGACAUUAUGACAAUUGUGCGCGCGAGUGACGCUUUGUUAUUUUUUCAAGUUGUUUCGAUUAAAGUAAAAUAAAUAAUAAAGUAAAUACAUUGAAAAUAUUUUCAGGAAUGCCAAACACAAUGUCAGUAAUAAAGUAAAGUCACGGAAAAUUUAUUUCACAGCGAAAAUCAUUACUGACAGUCGUUGAUGCAACAAGUGACUGAAAACACUGGUAAACAAAUCGUCACGUUAAACAUGCAUAUUUUUAGAGUAGACGUGUGUUUUCCACUGUUAUUCCAAAUAUUAAAACGAUGAAACCAUACUCUUUCAAACAAACGUGUUAAUAUGUUAUGAAAAAAAAAGAAUUUAAUUAACCAGUGCAAGUGACAUUAAUGAAAGUAAAGUUUUUCGAUAAAAAAAUUAUUUCUCAAUAAUGAGUUAACUGCAAUAGAGCAAAUUUCGAUAAUCCAUGAUGUGAUUUUCUUAAGAAAAGCGGAUAAAUUAGCGUGAAUUUACCUACGUAAUGAGAUUGACGAGAAAGUAGGUUAUAGAUGCUGGUACAAUACAAGCUGAGAGCAAGGAAUCAGAGGCAACAAGGUCAUCUAAUUAAUGUGGUACACAGGGUCUUAGGAAUCUGGAGGAUCUCAAACAUAAAUCUCAGAUCGAAUUACGUAUUCCCAAAGCAUUCAUCUGCCUUCUACAGACAUCAAUUUUGGAGGAACGCCUGGAGGAAACCUGUCAACGCCAGCAGCCAGACAAAUGCUAGCAAGUUUUCUGACGCGGGUAAUAAAGCGUUGAUAACCAUCAAGAAAACUCAACGACCAUCGAAUAAAGUGCUAGAGGCUACAAAGACAUGAUAUUUGUAGAAAGGGGAUUUUUACCCUAUGAUAUCAUCAUGGAUUCAUGAAGAGUUUGAUUGGCAUCACAACACCUUAUCAAUGUUACACAAACGAUUAUGUCAAUGAUGAUGUCUAUUCAUAAAAAAAUAACAUCGCAUGGAGAUAUGCUAAGAUCCCACGAAAUCGUUUCACCAUCUUGGACAAGAUUGAUUUUUCCUACAUGUCUAUUGGUCGAUUUUGUAACAGCAGAUCGUCGUUGUGCGCAGACAGUCGACAGAAAAAAAAAUAUCAAGGGCUAAUCCUUGGCAAAGGCCGGCAGACUUUAAAGGAUGAAAUAUAGGAGAAGGAAGAUGACGAAUAGAUGAUAACACAGUUGUGAGGAGGAGCUUUUGGCAUCACAAGAGACAGGUGAAAAUGAUGUACUAUACAUUUCUGCUUUCUGUCUUUUUCAAUUUCUUUGUCUUUUCGUUUGUCUACACCACUGCCAUUUUUUGUUCCUUUUUUCAUGUCGUACCAAGUAACAAGGCCGACGUGACGAUCCACUAGGUAAAAGGGAUGAACAAGUGCUGGAAAAGUAGGCGAGGCCACUUCGGGAAGGUGUCAUUGGGAAACCAAAGAGCUUGAUACUUCUUUUUUAAAGCUACUGCAAUCGGCUUCUUAUCAUUCAGCUGAGUGAGAUGGCACGAAUUUCCCUGUCGGUACUUUUGAGGAAAUGGCUUAUGCAUGUAUCCUACAGCUCUACAAGUUUCCAUACAUUCAUUGCUUUAGGCUAAAGAGGCUUCAAACUUUUAUAUAGAAAAAAGAAAUGCACUGAUAUGUUCAUAGUUCGAAAAUAUCAAUACAUACCGCAAAAAGUUGAAAGAGUUAUUUAUUUUUAUUCAGGGAAAUCUAUCGUGCAGCAGACAGAGUCUACAACUGUAACAAAAGGAAAAUUUGUUUCAACUAAAAAACAUCGAUGCAUCUACAAUAAUAUAGGAAGAGACUCCUGUAGUAGCAGAGUCUUGAUCUGUAGCAGUAGGUGGAGAACAGAGAAAUAAUUACAAAGCUGACAAAAAAUAAAAUAAAGUACUGCAAAAAAUUAAUUUGAAGCGGAAAAUACAAAGGGAAAAAUAAUAUCGAAAGUCCAAAGAAGAUGAGAGGAAGGUGAUGACGGAAUUGAAAAUCAUGAAUGAAAAAAAAAAGAAAACUACAAAAAAAAAUUGACAAACAAAAAUUGAGAAUUUAGACGACGCAACAAGAAAGAGUAAAAGGUGGAAGAGAUGGUAGAAAAAAAAUGAGGAUAGCUGGAAAAAAAUGAGUGCGUGUGUAGCAAAGUAGAGAAUAGAAAAAGGUGAUAGAGGGAACAUGGGAGAAUAUUACGGGAGAAAAAUCAGUGGGUAUGCUGAGAAACAAUAGAAAUGGGAAAUGGGCUUUCGUGUGAUAUGUUGGACGACGGACGAACGCUACACUAGUUUCAUAGAACAACAAAAACAGGGGUGAAAGGAUAUACAGUGUGAAAGUAACAAACUAAACGUUGCAGGGAAAAAGAGAGAAGGUAAUAUACGUAACCCAUGUAGAAUAUUAGUGCAAACAAGAAAAUAAAUAUAUCGUUUUUUCUUCUUUUUUUUUAUAUACUCAAUGCAGUUAGAUACAAAAAUUCAAUUACAGAACGUUGAAAGUAUGACAGACAAACGUUAUUAGACUGUCAUGUCGACGUUAGCUUUCCAUUUAUGUCGUGUGCUAGAUUUUCGUCGAGUGAGAGAGUAAUUGAUUAAAAAAAAAUGAUAAAGAAAGAAAAGAAAAGUAACUGGUAGAAAAAGAUCCCAUUGAAACAAAUCAAUUAAAAAGAUAACUUAUCUAAUUAGAUUGGAAAAUAUUUAUGAUUUACUGUACUGAUAAAAAUAUAUAUGAGAGAAGUUAUGGAAAAUGGAGUAUUUCUGGCGCAUUGUGUGCAAGUAAAAUGGAAUGCAAUGUCAGGGUGAAAAUACUACCGUUAGGUUAGUUGCAUGCCCAAGGGGUGUAAUUAAAGGAAACUGCCAUGGGCGGAAUUAAUAAUGAAAAGCGUAAGGUGGGUUCCAAACAAAGUUUCCACGACGAAGUAGAAAAGGACAUAGACCAACCGAGCCAUAGCCUAAUCAAGAAGCUCUUGCACCAUUUCGCGGUUAUACAUAUAACUACCAACCAUUUCUCUCUUAAUUAGAUUCACAAGCAAGAGCUGUUUCAACUAUAUGUUGAUGGCAUAAUGGUUCUACAAAUGCUUAAAUUUUACUUUUCAAUGAACACAUUACUCACGCUUAAUAAAUUCUAUUAGACAGAU